UUCUGCCCUAUGAAUAAUUAAAUGGCUGCAGUAUUUUGACUGUGCAAAGGUAGCAUAAUAAUUAGUCUUUUAAUUGAUGACUUGUAUGAAUGAAUGAAUGAAAGAUUUGUUUUAUUUUUUAUAUAAUUAUAAUUUAAUUAAUGAGUAAAAAAGCUUAUUUUUUUGUCUGGGACGAGAAGACCCUAUAGAACUUUAUUAAUUUAUUUAAUUAUAAUAAUUUAGUUUAAUUUUUAUUUGUUUAUAUAAAUUAGUUUAAUUGGGGCGAUUAAUAAAUUAAGACUUUAUUUUUUUUUCUCAUUAAUUUAUGCAUUUUUGAUCCAUUAUAUGAUUAUAAGAAAAAGUUACCUUAGGGAUAACAGCGUAAUUUUAAUGGGGAGUUCAUAUCUAUAUUAAAGUUUGCGACCUCGAUGUUGAAUUAAGAUAAGAUUGAGGGGUAG
rnacentral:rRNA from 1 species